AAGUCGUAACAAGGUUUCCGUAGGUGAACCUGCGGAAGGAUCAUUAACGAAUUUCGAAUCGGUCUUCUGUGCUGGUGGCAACACAUGUGCACGUUGAUCGUAAUUCCAUUCUCCUUUCAAUCGUCCAAGUGUGUUCGGUCGGCCCUAUUGGGUCGAAGAAGCGUGGCCGUCAGGCUCGUUUCGUUCUGAGCGCACAUUGGUUAUUUCACCCACUCUGGGUACUCGAAACAAAGAAAACAUAUCAUAUAAAUAAAACAACUUUCAACAACGGAUCUCUUGGCUCUC
rnacentral:misc_RNA from 1 species